ACAAGUUCAACGGCCGCGGUAUUUUGACCGUGCAAAGGUAGCGCAAUCACUUGUCUUUUAAAUAGAGACCUGUAUGAAUGGCUAAACGAGGGCUUAACUGUCUCCCUUUUCAGGUCAGUGAAAUUGAUCUACCCGUGCAGAAGCGGGUAUAACAAUACAAGACGAGAAGACCCUUUGGAGCUUAAGGUACAAAACUCAACCACGUCAAGCAACUUAAUAAAAAGUAAAAACUUUGUGAAACAUGAGAUUUUACCUUCGGUUGGGGCGACCGCGGAGGAAAAAAAAGCCUCCAAGUGGACCGGGACAAACUCCUAAAACCAAGAGAAACAUCUCUAAGCCACAGAACAUCUGACCAAACAUGAUCCGGCCACUAGGGCCGAUCAACGAACCAAGUUACCCUAGGGAUAACAGCGCAAUCCCCUCCCAGAGUCCAUAUCGACGAGGGGGUUUACGACCUCGAUGUUGGAUCAGGACAUCCUAAUGGUGCAGCCGCUAUUAAGGGUUCGUUUGUUCAACGAUUAAAGUCCUACGUGAUC
rnacentral:rRNA from 1 species